rnacentral:rRNA from 1 species
AGUGAAGCGGGAUGAGCUCAAAUUUAAAAUCUGACUGGUUUACUAGUCCGAGUUGUAGUUUAAAGAAGCGUUUUCGGUGGCAGUCUCGGUAUAAAUCCUUUGGAAUAGGGUAUCAUAGAGGGUGAGAAUCCCGUCUUUGACUGAGAAUAUGCUACUAUGUGAUACGUUUUCAAAGAGUCGAGUUGUUUGGGAAUGCAGCUCAAAAUGGGUGGUAAAUUUCAUCUAAGGCUAAAUAUUGGCGAGAGACCGAUAGCGAACAAGUACCGUGAGGGAAAGAUGAAAAGAACUUUGAAAAGAGAGUUAAACAGUGCGUGAAAUUGUUAAAAGGGAAACGCUUGAAACCAGUCAUGCGGUUGGGAAAUCAGUCUCUGACAUGGGGGAAUGGGGGAGGUGUGGACCGCAAGGCCGCUCUUUUUCAUAUCUUUUGUGGCAGGGAUGCACUUUUUCUUCUGCAGGUCAACAUCAGUUUGCUUUGCCGGACAAAACUCUUGGAAAGGUGAUAGCUUAGGCUAUGUUAUAGUCCAAGAGCGAUACGGUGGAGCGGACUGAGGUUUUCGCAGCAUGUGCUCUCGGGCAAGGCUGAUUGGGUGCUAUGGGAUCGUUCAGAGUACAAUACAUGUAUUUUGCUUUGUGUCUUUUCUAUACUCGCUCAACUCGGCUCUUCCAUGCUUAGGAUGUUGACAUAAUGGUUCUAAUCGACCCGUCUUGAAACACGGACCAAGGAGUCUAACAUAUAUGCAAGUGUUUGGGUGGCAAACCCAUGCGCGUAAUGAAAGUGAACGUAGGUGCCAUCCGCAAGGUGCAGCAUCGACCGAUCUUGAUAUUUUUGGAUAGAUUUGAGUAAGAGCAUAUAUGCUGGGACCCGAAAGAUGGUGAACUAUGCCUGAAUAGGGUGAAGCCAGAGGAAACUCUGGUGGAGGCUCGUAGCGAUUCUGACGUGCAAAUCGAUCGUCAAAUUUGGGUAUAGGGGCGAAAGACUAAUUCG